UACGGAGGUUCCAAGCGUUAUCCGGAUUUAUUGGGUUUAAAGGGUGCGUAGGCGGUUUAUUAAGUCAGGGGUGAAAGACGGCAGCUUAACUGUCGCAGUGCCUUUGAUACUGAUGAACUUGAAUGUACUAGAAGUAGGCGGAAUGUGACAAGUAGCGGUGAAAUGCAUAGAUAUGUCACAGAACACCGAUUGCGAAGGCAGCUUACUAUGGUAUUAUUGACGCUGAGGCACGAAAGCGUGGGGAUCAAACAGG
rnacentral:rRNA from 1 species